UAUGUGAUGCAGCACUAUUGUGCCCCUAGUCACUCUCUGUGGCUUUGUGCUGAGUUUGGAGACAAGGACCUGAUUUAUAUUGUCUUUGGUAUCUCAGGCCUAGAACCCAGUAAAUAUUUGUAGGUUGUGUACAUAAGCUGCUUUGGGCCAUUUUGCUCAGUUGGUUUAAGGUCAAAGUGAGUAAGUUAAAGGUAGACAUUUCAUCCCAGCAUCACUGCACCAGUUAGCUUACCACCCUUUCGUGUCAGCCUCAACCCUUCCUAUUAAGUCAGUUACCUGGCAAGACUUAAUGAAAAGGUUUAUCUAAAUUUCUGAGAAUCUACUACCAAUACCAGAAACACUGCCUAAUCCAGUGGUUUCAUCUCUACACAAGAACAAGUAUGUCCAAAAAAACCUUUGAGUUAACUGAUGUGUCAAAGCAACCAGUCAAAGGCUGGCACGGUGGCUCACGCCUGUAAUCUCAGGUUGCAGGCAGAGGUUGGUGGAUCAGUUGAGCCCGGGAUUUCAAGACUAGCCUGGCCAACAUGGUGAAAUCCCAUCUCUACAAAAAAUACAGAAAAAAAAUUGGCUGGACAUGGUGGUGCAUGCCUGUGGUCCCAGCUACUCGGGAGGCUGAGGUGGGAGGAUGGUUUGAGCCCAGGAGGCAGAGGUUGCAGUGAGCCAAGAUCGGGCAACUGCACUCCAGCCUGGGUGACAGAGCCAAACCCUGUCUCAAAAGCAAAGACAAAAAGAACUAGUUUAAGAAUUUUUUUGGCUGGGCGCGGUGGCUCACGCCUGUAAUCCCAGCACUUUGGGAGACCGAGGCAGGCGGAUCAUGAGGUCAGGAGUUCGAGACCAGCCUGGCCAAUAUGGUGAAACCCCGUCUCUACUAAAAAUACAGAAAUUAGCUGGGCAUGGUGGCGGGUGCCUGUACUCCCAGCUACUUGGGAGGCUGAGGCAGAAGAAUCGCUUGAACCCAGGAGGCGGNNNNNNNNNNNNNNNNNNNNNNNNNNNNNNNNNNNNNNNNNNNNNNNNNNNNNNNNNNNNAAAAGCUCCAAAGCUCUUGCAUUUAAUCCGUUCUACUGACUGCUUCAACUUACACAACAAACUACGUAGCAACUUACUUCACUUAGUCAUUAGAGCAAACAUGCUGAGUCCAUCUUUCAGCAAGAUCAAAGGUUUGUCUUAAAAAACCACUCUCCAAGGUAAUAUAUCAUUGAAGGCUUUUCACAAUGACACAAUAGAUCUGUUUA
rnacentral:lncRNA from 1 species